UCUAAUGUGGCAGAAUAGUGCAAUGGUCUUAAACUCCGUACAUAAAGUCAACUUUCUUUAGAA
rnacentral:tRNA from 1 species